rnacentral:tRNA from 1 species
GCCUGGGUGGUUCAGUCGGUUGAGCGUCUGACUUCGACUCAGGUCAUGAUCUCGCAGUCUGUGAGUUCGAGCCCCGCGUCAGGCU